GUAGGUGGCAAGCGUUGUCCGGAAUUAUUGGGCGUAAAGCGCGCGCAGGCGGUUCUUUAAGUCUGAUGUGAAAGCCCACGGGCUCAACCGUGGAGGGUCAUUGGAAACUGGAGAACUUGAGUACAGAAGAGGAAAGCGGAAUUCCACGUGUAGCGGUGAAAUGCGUAGAGAUGUGGAGGAACACCAGUGGCGAAGGCGGCUUUCUGGUCUGUAACUGACGCUGAGGCGCGAAAGCGUGGGGAGCGAACAGGAUUAGAUACCCUGGUAGUCCACGCCGUAAACGAUGAGUGCUAAGUGUUAGGGGGUUUCCGCCCCUUAGUGCUGCAGCUAACGCAUUAAGCACUCCGCCUGGGGAGUACGGCCGCAAGACUG
rnacentral:rRNA from 1 species